rnacentral:rRNA from 1 species
ANACNUGCAGUCGAGCGAAUGGAUUAAGAGCUUGCUCUUAUGAAGUUAGCGGCGGACGGGUGAGUAACACGUGGGUAACCUACCCAUAAGACUGGGAUAACUCCGGGAAACCGGGGCUAAUACCGGAUAAUAUUUUGAACUGCAUAGUUCGAAAUUGAAAGGCGGCUUCGGCUGUCACUUAUGGAUGGACCCGCGUCGCAUUAGCUAGUUGGUGAGGUAACGGCUCACCAAGGCGACGAUGCGUAGCCGACCUGAGAGGGUGAUCGGCCACACUGGGACUGAGACACGGCCCAGACUNNUACGGGAGGCAGCAGUAGGGAAUCUUCCGCAAUGGACGAAAGUCUGACGGAGCAACGCCGCGUGAGUGAUGAAGGCUUUCGGGUCGUAAAACUCUGUUGUUAGGGAAGAACAAGUGCUAGUUGAAUAAGCUGGCACCUUGACGGUACCUAACCAGAAAGCCACGGCUAACUACGUGCCAGCAGCCGCGGUAAUACGUAGGUGGCAAGCGUUAUCCGGAAUUAUUGGGCGUAAAGCGCGCGCAGGUGGUUUCUUAAGUCUGAUGUGAAAGCCCACGGCUCAACCGUGGAGGGUCAUUGGAAACUGGGAGACUUGAGUGCAGAAGAGGAAAGUGGAAUUCCAUGUGUAGCGGUGAAAUGCGUAGAGAUAUGGAGGAACACCAGUGGCGAAGGCGACUUUCUGGUCUGUAACUGACACUGAGGCGCGAAAGCGUGGGGAGCAAACAGGAUUAGAUACCCUGGUAGUCCACGCCGUAAACGAUGAGUGCUAAGUGUUAGAGGGUUUCCGCCCUUUAGUGCUGAAGUUAACGCAUUAAGCACUCCGCCUGGGGAAGUACGGCCGCAAGGCUGAAAACUCAAAGGAAUUGACGGGGGGCCCGCACAAAGCGGUGGANCCAUGUGGUUUUAAUUCGAAAGCAACGCGANAA